CCUGAUGCAGCCAUGCCGCGUGUAUGAAGAAGCCCUUCGGGUUGUAAAGUACUUUCAGUCGUGAGGAAGGCGGCGUCGUUAAUAGCGGCGUUGUUUGACGUUAGCGACAGAAGAAGCACCGGCUAACUCCGUGCCAGCAGCCGCGGUAAUACGGAGGGUGCGAGCGUUAAUCGGAAUUACUGGGCGUAAAGCGCAUGCAGGUGGUUUGUUAAGUCAGAUGUGAAAGCCCGGGGCUCAUCCUCGGAAUAGCAUUUGAAACUGGCAGACUAGAGUACUGUAGAGGGGGGUAGAAUUUCAGGUGUAGCGGUGAAAUGCGUAGAGAUCUGAAGGAAUACCGGUGGCGAAGGCGGCCCCCUGGACAGAUACUGACACUCAGAUGCGAAAGCGUGGGGAGCAAACAGGAUUAGAUACCCUGGUAGUCCACGCCGUAAACGAUGUCUACUUGGAGGUUGUGGCCUUGAGCCGUGGCUUUCGGAGCUAACGCGUUAAGUAGACCGCCUGGGGAGUACGGUCGCAAGAUUAAAACUCAAAUGAAUUGACGGGGGCCCGCACAAGCGGUGGAGCAUGUGGUUUAAUUCGAUGCAACGCGAAGAACCUUACCUACUCUUGACAUCCAGAGAACUUUCCAGAGAUGGAUUGGUGCCUUCGGGAACUCUGAGACAGGUGCUGCAUGGCUGUCGUCAGCUCGUGUUGUGAAAUGUUGGGUUAAGUCCCGCAACGAGCGCAACCCUUAUCCUUGUUUGCCAGCGAGUAAUGUCGGGAACUCCAGGGAGACUGCCGGUGAUAAACCGGAGGAAGGUGGGGACGACGUCAAGUCAUCAUGGCCCUUACGAGUAGGGCUACACACGUGCUACAAUGGCGCAUACAGAGGGCGGCCAACUUGCGAAAGUGAGCGAAUCCCAAAAAGUGCGUCGUAGUCCGGAUUGGAGUCUGCAACUCGACUCCAUGAAGUCGGAAUCGCUAGUAAUCGUGGAUCAGAAUGCCGCGGUGAAUACGUUCCCGGGCCUUGUACACUCCGAAAGUCACACCAUGGGAGUGGGCUGCAAAAGAAGUAGGUAGUUUAACCUUCGGGGGACGCUUACCCUAGAGUUUCCUGCUGCC
rnacentral:rRNA from 1 species